UCUGGUUGGGGGGUGAGGCAGGUAAAGAUUCCCCAGGGUGUGAGUGCCCGAGGAAUGCCCCCAAAACACAGGGGUCCCCUCCCCAAGACUGCAAAUGAGGGCUAGCUCACACCCAGGUCUCCCUCAACACAACACCUGCAGGACAGCAGCGGGCAGGGUGUGGGCAGGAGGGGAGAGGGGGCUGGGCUGCGGGGAGGUCGAGGCGGCACAGCGGCCCCAGGAGCAGCCACAGGGCCGGGCUGCCCACCUGCUGCACAGACGUUCCACCUCCCGGCUCACGCCACUGAUCAUUCCCAUCCCCGGCUCACCCCGUUCAUCUCAAUCACGUCCGUGUGCCAGUUCUUGGUCUCCACGGUUUGUGGGUCCAGCUGCAGAGAGAGAAUGUGGGUGAGAGAGGUGCCAGCUCGGAGGCCAAGCCAGAGAUCUCCCCGUGGGUCAGCACUGCUCAGAGCCAGCUACACAGUCAGGAAGGCGGAAAUGCAGAAACUGAGGCUCACAAAAGGUAAGCACCUGAUUAGGAGGCGCUCAAGUCCAUCAGGAGGGAACCAGCCCAUCCACGUGGAGGUGUUGAAGAGUCAGGAGCCCGCGCACAGGAGGCUGCCUGGGUUUGAAUCCUGGCAAGUUUUAAACUCACUAAGCCUCAGUUAUUCCAUCUGCAACAGAACCUGCCUCCCUGGGAUUGCUGGGAAGAUUCAGGGAGAAAACUUGGGUCAAGCCAUUGGCUCCCAAAUAAGCAAAUCCUCCACAGGGGAAGUCCCCAGGCUCGGGCUGGAGCCCAGGGAGGUGCGGACCCCAGGGGAGGUCAGAGGCAACCCUCACACAGGACUGUUCCACGUUCUGUUUCUGUAACUCGGGGGCCUUCGCGCCCGUCUGCCUGUGCACCUGCGAACUAAUUCUGAGCAACUGUGCGCUCCCUGGCACUUUCUGAAGUCAAAAUCUGAACAUUUCCAAGUUUAAAUAGUUGCAAAGAGUAUGAUUUCCAAAAUCAUGUCAAUAUUGCCAUCCUAAAAUAAAAGUGUGACAUCAUUC